UGGGGAAUCUUGCACAAUGGGGGCAACCCUGAUGCAGCGACGCCGCGUGAGCGAUGAAGCCCUUCGGGGCGUAAAGCUCUUUCGACCGGAACGAUAAUGACGGUACCGGGAGAAGAAGCUGCGGCUAACUACGUGCCAGCAGCCGCGGUAAUACGUAGGCAGCAAGCGUUGUUCGGAGUUACUGGGCGUAAAGAGUGCGUAGGCGGUUUUCUAAGUUCGGUGUGAAAUCUCCCGGCUUAACUGGGAGGGUGCGCCGAAGACUGGGAAGGUGGAGUGUGGGAAAGGCAGGCGGAAUUCCUGGUGUAGCGGUGAAAUGCGUAGAUAUCAGGAGGAACACCGGCGGUGUAGACGGCUUGCUAGACCAUAACUGACGCUGAGGCACGAAAGCGUGGGUAGCAAACA
rnacentral:rRNA from 1 species